rnacentral:rRNA from 1 species
AGCAGCAGCCGCGGGAAUACGGAGGGGGCUAGCGUUGUUCGGAAUUACUGGGCGUAAAGCGCACGUAGGCGGCUUGGUAAGUUAGAGGUGAAAGCCCGGAGCUCAACUCCGGAAUUGCCUUUAAGACUGCCGAGCUAGUAGGUGAGAGAGGUAAGUGGAAUUCCGAGUGUAGAGGUGAAAUUCGUAGAUAUUCGGAAGAACACCAGUGGCGAAGGCGGCUUACUGGCUCAUUCUAGACGCUGAGGUGCGAAAGCGUGGGGAGCAAACAGGAUUAGAUACCCCCGUAGUCCCUGUCUCUUAUAA